rnacentral:rRNA from 1 species
UACGGAGGGUGCAAGCGUUAUCCGGAUUCACUGGGCUUAAAGGGUGCGUAGGUGGGUUGGUAAGUCAGUGGUGAAAUCUCCGAGCUUAACUCGGAAACUGCCAUUGAUACUAUCAAUCUUGAAUAUUGUGGAGGUCAGCGGAAUAUGUCAUGUAGCGGUGAAAUGCUUAGAGAUGACAUAGAACACCAAUUGCGAAGGCAGCUGGCUACACAUAUAUUGACACUGAGGCACGAAAGCGUGGGGAUCAAACAGG